GCGGCUAUGGCGAAAUUGGUUUCCGCGCCACACUUAGGAUGUGGUGGUCCUUGACCUUGUAGGUUCGAGUCCUACUAGCCGUA
rnacentral:tRNA from 1 species